UUUUCCACAUUCAAUUCGCACCCCCCUCGUUGUCGCCUACCUUCCCCAUAGCUGUACGUCCUCCAUCGAAGCGCAUUCUGGGCUUUCUCACCUCCAUUGCCGCAACUCGUCUCUUUCUCUCCAUAGAUCUCCUCCAUUGAAGCGCAUUCUGCUGAGCUUUCUCACCUCCAUUGAAGCGCAUUCUGAGCUUUCCAACUCCAUUGUAGCAGCUUCGAGUGAUAAAUAUACGAGCAUAUGCAUCCUGGGAUAGCUUCUCUCAUUAUCCGGUUUGGCAAGGAAAGAAGCAAAUGAAUUGAUAAAACUUGUCAGGUCUCGUGUAGUGGACAACAAUGGAACUUUUGGUGAAACUACUCCAAAUAUGCAGACCUCAGCAAUUAUGGAAGCUAGGAAAUGAUAAGAUUUUCAAGUGUGACCGAUCCCUCUCUACUCGGGGAAGCAGGGGAGCUUGAAAUACGCAUCAAACCUGAUCCAGAUAAUGGGACCAUCACGAUUAGGAUACUGGUAAUUGGAAUGACAAAAGAGGAGCUUGUUGAUUGUUUGGGAACUAUUGCACAGAGUGGCACUUCCAAGUUCUUAAAAGCAUUGAAGGUACUCGAAACCUUUCUUGUGAUAUAGUCGUAUGUUUUAAUUAAAGUAGUCUUGUUUUUUCUAGAAACAAUCUGAGCUUGUCAGUGUAAGGUUUUUUGAAUUGAGAAGAGAAUAUGUGAUGAUUGAUAAGAAACUGAUGGGAUGAACCCUCAAUCAUCAAUAACUGUAUGCUAGCUCAAAAACGUGUACUCUGUUGUCAUUUGAGUUUUCUUUCUAUAAGAUUAGUUCCAUAUUGUUCAUGGAACAGUUAUAGUGGUUGGAUUC